rnacentral:tRNA from 1 species
GCCCCCGUGGUGUAACUGGACAGCACACGGAACUUCUAAUUCCGUUAGUACAGGUUCGAAUCCUGUCGGGGGUA